CCUUGGAAAAAGAUCAGCUUUUACCACUGACUCAUAAUCUUCUUGAAGAUUCACAGUAUCCGUACUAUCCAGGGCAGAGAGUCAAGGUUAAGACCUCCACAGCUUCUAAACCAGCUAGAUGGCUUUGUGGCACCUGGAAAGACAAUCAUGGUGAAGGAACUGUUUGUGCUGUGGAAGCAGGUUUGGUGUAUGUUAAUUGGCUUACGUCUGUUUUUUUCGGUUCCAAUUUAAAUGUAAAUGCUCCUCUAUGCUGGCAAGAUUCAAAAAACAUGACCUUGUUGUCCUGUUUUUCACAUACAAACUGGCAACUUGGUGAUUGGUGCAUGCUUCCACCACCUGUGGACCAAAAGGAACAGAUGAUUCAAGAUGCAUCUCCAUGUGAUCCUCAUAACGAGCAUAAUAAGGCUAGAGGAUAUAAGACGAAAAAUCUUAACUCUAACAUUGGGGAAUUAUUUAUUAUUGAGAAGAUAAAGACCGAAGUUGAUAUUGUUUGGCAAAAUGGUGAACAGACUUUUGGAUUAGAUCCGCUUAACUUAAUCCCAGUGAAUGUAAUAAACAGUCAUGAAUUUUGGCCCCAGCAGUUUGUGCUGGAAAAAAGUGCUUCUGAUGAUCCUCUCAAACCU
rnacentral:lncRNA from 1 species